rnacentral:rRNA from 1 species
UACAGAGGUCCCGAGCGUUGUUCGGAUUCAUUGGGCGUAGAGGGUGCGUAGGCGGCUUUCCAAGUCUGAUGUGAAAUCCUGGGGCUCAACCCUGGAACUGCAUUGGAUACUGGGAGGCUAGAGACCUGGAGAGGAAACUGGAAUUUACGGUGUAGCAGUGAAAUGCGUAGAGAUCGUAAGGAAGACCAGUGGCGAAGGCGAGUUUCUGGACAGGUACUGACGCUGAGGCACGAAGGCCAGGGGAGCAAACGGG